UACGGCCAUAGCAACCGCCCGAUCUCAUCCGAUCUCGGAAGCUAAGCAGGGUCGGGCCUGGUUAGUACUUGGAUGGGAGAGAUGAGACACAGAUACAUCAUUUGAAAGACAAGGAACCACCAGGCUGGCAGUAA
ensembl:rRNA 5S_rRNA 5S ribosomal RNA